rnacentral:rRNA from 1 species
UACGGAGGGUGCAAGCGUUAUCCGGAUUCACUGGGUUUAAAGGGUGCGUAGGCGGGCAGGUAAGUCAGUGGUGAAAUCCCCGGGCUUAACUUGGGAACUGCCGUUGAUACUAUCUGUCUUGAAUAUCGUGGAGGUGAGCGGAAUAUGUCAUGUAGCGGUGAAAUGCUUAGAUAUGACAUAGAACACCCAUUGCGAAGGCAGCUCACUACACGAUAAUUGACGCUGAGGCACGAAAGCGUGGGAGCAAACAGG